GCGAGCGGCGGAUGGGUGAGUAACACGUGGGGAACCUGCCCCUAAGUCUUGAGAUACCAUUUGGAAACAGGUGCUAAUACCGGAUAAUAAAGCAGAUCGCAUGAUCAGCUUUUGAAAGGCGGCGUAAGCUGUCGCUAAGGGAUGGCCCCGCGGUGCAUUAGCUAGUUGGUAAGGUAACGGCUUACCAAGGCGACGAUGCAUAGCCGAGUUGAGAGACUGAUCGGCCACAUUGGGACUGAGACACGGCCCAACCUCCUACGGGAGGCAGCAGUAGGGAAUCUUCCACAAUGGACGCAAGUCUGAUGGAGCAACGCCGCGUGAGUGAAGAAGGUUUUCGGAUCGUAAAGCUCUGUUGUUGGUGAAGAAGGAUAGAGGUAGUAACUGGCCUUUAUUUGACGGUAAUCAACCAGAAAGUCACGGCUAACUACGUGCCAGCAGCCGCGGUAAUACGUAGGUGGCAAGCGUUGUCCGGAUUUAUUGGGCGUAAAGCGAGCGCAGGCGGGAAAAUAAGUCUAAUGUGAAAGCCCUCGGCUUAACCGAGGAACUGCAUCGGAAACUGUUUUUCUUGAGUGCAGAAGAGGAGAGUGGAACUCCAUGUGUAGCGGUGGAAUGCGUAGAUAUAUGGAAGAACACCAGUGGCGAAGGCGGCUCUCUGGUCUGCAACUGACGCUGAGGCUCGAAAGCAUGGGUAGCGAACAGGAUUAGAUACCCUGGUAGUCCAUGCCGUAAACGAUGAGUGCUAAGUGUUGGGAGGUUUCCGCCUCUCAGUGCUGCAGCUAACGCAU
rnacentral:rRNA from 1 species